rnacentral:rRNA from 1 species
AUGAACGCUAGCGACAGGCUUAACACAUGCAAGUCGAGGGGCAUCAUGAGGUAGCAAUACCUUGAUGGCGACCGGCGCACGGGUGAGUAACGCGUAUGCAACCUGCCCGAUACCGGGGUAUAGCCCAUGGAAACGUGGAUUAACACCCCAUAGUACUUUUAUCCUGCAUGGGAUGUGAGUUAAAUGUUCAAGGUAUCGGAUGGGCAUGCGUCCUAUUAGUUAGUUGGCGGGGUAACAGCCCACCAAGACGAUGAUAGGUAGGGGUUCUGAGAGGAAGGUCCCCCACAUUGGAACUGAGACACGGUCCAAACUCCUACGGGAGGCAGCAGUGAGGAAUAUUGGUCAAUGGACGUAAGUCUGAACCAGCCAAGUCGCGUGAGGGAAGACUGCCCUAUGGGUUGUAAACCUCUUUUAUAAGGGAAGAAUAAGUUCUACGUGUAGAAUGAUGCCUGUACCUUAUGAAUAAGCAUCGGCUAACUCCGUGCCAGCAGCCGCGGUAAUACGGAGGAUGCGAGCGUUAUCCGGAUUUAUUGGGUUUAAAGGGUGCGUAGGCGGUUUAUUAAGUUAGUGGUUAAAUAUUUGAGCUAAACUCAAUUGUGCCAUUAAUACUGGUAAACUGGAGUACAGACGAGGUAGGCGGAAUAAGUUAAGUAGCGGUGAAAUGCAUAGAUAUAACUUAGAACUCCGAUAGCGAAGGCAGCUUACCAGACUGUAACUGACGCUGAUGCACGAGAGCGUGGGUAGCGAACAGGAUUAGAUACCCUGGUAGUCCACGCCGUAAACGAUGACUACUAGGUGUCGGGUGGCAAAGCCAUUCGGUGCCGCAGCAAACGCAAUAAGUAGUCCACCUGGGGAGUACGUUCGCAAGAAUGAAACUCAAAGGAAUUGACGGGGGCCCGCACAAGCGGAGGAACAUGUGGUUUAAUUCGAUGAUACGCGAGGAACCUUACCUGGGUUUAAAUGGGAAAUGCCGUAUUUGGAAACAGAUAUUCUCUUCGGAGCGUUUUUCAAGGUGCUGCAUGGUUGUCGUCAGCUCGUGCCGUGAGGUGUCGGGUUAAGUCCCAUAACGAGCGCAACCCUUACCGUUAGUUGCUAGCAUGUAAUGAUGAGCACUCUAACGGGACUGCCACCGUAAGGUGAGAGGAAGGCGGGGAUGACGUCAAAUCAGCACGGCCCUUACACCCAGGGCUACACACGUGUUACAAUGGCCGGUACAGAGGGCUGCUACCAGGUGACUGGAUGCCAAUCUCAAAAGCCGGUCGUAGUUCGGAUUGGAGUCUGUAACCCGACUCCAUGAAGUUGGAUUCGCUAGUAAUCGCGCAUCAGCCAUGGCGCGGUGAAUACGUUCCCGGGCCUUGUACACACCGCCCGUCAAGCCAUGGAAGCCGGGGGUGCCUGAAGUCCGUAACCGCGAGGAUCGGCCUAGGGCAAAACUGGUAACUGGGGCU